AUACGUAGGGGGCGAGCGUUGUCCGGAAUGAUUGGGCGUAAAGGGCGCGUAGGCGGCCCGGUAAGUCUGGAGUGAAAGUCCUGUUUUUAAGAUGGGAAUUGCUUUGGAUACUGUCGGGCUUGAGUGCAGGAGAGGUAAGUGGAAUUCCCAGUGUAGCGGUGAAAUGCGUAGAGAUUGGGAGGAACACCAGUGGCGAAGGCGACUUACUGGACUGUAACUGACGCUGAGGCGCGAAAGUGUGGGGAGCAAACAGGAUUAGAUACCCUGGUAGUCCACGCGGUAAACGAUGAAUGCUAGGUGUUGCGGGUAUCGACCCCUGCAGUGCCGGAGUAAACACAAUAAGCAUUCCGCCUGGGGAGUACGGCCGCAAGGUUGAAACUCAAAUGAAUGGGCGGGG
rnacentral:rRNA from 1 species